AGCAGCAGUUCCUGUGGAAAAAGCUGGUAUUUUCCCUCACAGAUCUAGUGGGAAACUGUGAGAGAAAGGUAGUAUGAAAGUUGAUCCAAGCUUUUUGAGCCUCGUUACCUAUCUAAAUGUAGAUUUAUAAUCCAUCCUGAUCUUCUGGUGCUGUGUAGUGUAUUCUGCCAUAAGUAGUGUGAGUAGUUGUGACACCCUGUCCCUAUUGGAACACAGCCCUGUGUUCAUGUGUGUGUUAGUUCUGUGCUGCACAGUAGUGAAGCACAAUAGAGACUGGUUUCAUGUGUUACUUGUCAUGCGAAUAACAAGGUGACUUUUUCUUAAACAGUGCCGGCUGCUGUUAUUGCUAAUGUAAGGGCCUUGUUUUCCAGCAUUUGUGUUAGUUCUUAGUGUAGUGUUUUUGCCAUUCAGAUGUAUUGGAGUGGUUGGUAGGACUGCUGAUGCAGUAAUGUUGGAGUAAGGGACGAGAUUGUUGCAUCUUUUCUUUUUUGUUAGGGAACUGGAUACAGUUUCCUUAUGUGUCAGCUAAUGACAAGAUUUUGAAGUACGCCUUCCAUGCUCUUACCAUGAAGAUUUGCUUAAGCUGUUGGAAAUGGCCUUCUGGCUGGAAGCUCUGGUAACAGUGGCUGCAUGUGGUUCACCCCUCUGCCCCAGUCACUUCCUCCAGCAAAGGGAACGAUCCUCAUGUAGACUUCCAGAGUCUGGGGACUUCUUUCCUCCUUGAGCUGCUCUUCUCUACAAAGCGGACUUGAGAGUUGGCUCUUCUGGUAAUUUUUGCAAACAAAUGUGCCUUUAAAUUAUCCUUUAAAGAGCUCUGGAAUGAAAUGGUAGAAUUAUGCAGUCAAAUUAGGAAACAGUGAAUUUUUCCCUUCUAUCUUAUGGAGAUGCACUCUCUUCUACUGCAGUAAUGUAAUAAUACCACACGUUCUGUUCCUUCGGUGUAACUAUUAAUGACAGGGUGGUGUCCCUUAGAUUUUUUUUUUAAUUUAUUUUCAAUGCCUUCUGGUUAUCAUACUUAGAGUGUGGCCUCCAAGGUGUGUUGCAGAGUGCUCUGUCAAAGUAAUCUCUGUGCUCUGUCAGUGCUGGUUUUCUGUGAGGAACUGUAACUUGGAAUCCAGCAGUCCUAUUCCCUAAAACUUGCUGGGCGUUACCAAAAGGAGCAAGGAAGCAAAGAAUGCUUGUUCCCAUUUACCACCGUCUGCUUAGUUCAGUUCACAGAUGAGUUUCUAAAGAAUUCCACUUGUGUUCCUGCAUUAUCAUUUGAGAGAGGUCUUGUUGCUCCUCAGAUCAGAAGUGAACAGAAAUUGCAAUUCUCUUGUGCUUGGCUGCACCGUGAGCUGCAGUAA
rnacentral:lncRNA from 1 species